GAGGAAAACCUGGAGGUGAUCAAAUUUAAAGUAAAUGUAGCGAACAAUGACUAUGAUUUAAUUUGUGAUAAUUACUUUAACGGUGACAAUACAUAUUCAAGUGUACAUGUAUACAACGUACAAUUACUAUUGAUUAUUGAUGGAAGAUAUUUAUAAUAAUUUUGAUGAAUUAAUUCAU